ACGGCUCAGUAACACGUAGGUAACCUACCCUUCGGACGGGCACAACCCCGGGAAACUGGGGCUAAUUCCCGAUAGGUACCCCGUUCUGGAAUGUGGGGAUAUCCAAAGCUCCGGCGCCGAAGGAUGGGCCUGCGGCCGAUUAGGUUGUUGGCGGGGUAACAGCCCACCAAGCCGACGAUCGGUACGGGCAGUGAGAGCUGUAGCCCGGAGAUGGGGACUGAGACAAGGCCCCAGGCCCUACGGGGCGCAGCAGGCGCGAAACCUUCACAAUGCACGAAAGUGUGAUGAGGGUACUCCGAGUGCGCAUACAUUGUAUGUGCUUUUCUGCAGCGUAAAUAGUUGCAGGAAUAAGGGCUGGGCAAGACCGGUGCCAGCCGCCGCGGUAACACCGGCAGCCCUAGUGGUGGCCGCUUUUAUUGGGCCUAAAGCGUCCGUAGCCGGACAGGCGAGUCUUUGGGUAAAUCCCACGUCUUAAGCGUGGGAAUUCUAAAGAUACUACCUGUCUUGAGGCCGGGAGAGGCUGGAGGUACUCCUGGGGUAGGGGUAAAAUCCUAUAAUCCUGGGGGGACCACCGAUGGCGAAGGCAUCCAGCUGGAACGGGCCUGACGGUGAGGGACGAAACCCAGGGGAGCGAGCCGGAUUAGAUACCCGGGUAGUCCUGGGCGUAAAUGAUGUGGGCUUGGUGUGAGCGCAUCGACGAGGUGCGCUUGUGCCGUAGGGAAGCCGUUAAGCCCACCGCCUGGGGAGUACGGUCGCAAGGCUGAAACUUAAAGGAAUUGGCGGGGGAG
rnacentral:rRNA from 1 species